CCUUGAUCUCGUAGCCGGCGCCAGCAGCCGCGCUUUGGGGCGUCGGCUCACGUGGGGCCGGCAACGCGUCUUCCAGGAUGUUCGCGCGCUAGUCGCCGCUGAGGGGCCGGCGAUGCGCGAGGAGUUCCGGCGAGGAAGGUCGGUCAGUGGACAUGGCCGAGGCCCGCGGUGUCCGCGUGUGGGAGCUGCAGGGCUGAGGAGAGGCCGCCCGCAACCCUCGGGAAUCGUGUGAGGUGCCACUGGGGUCGCUUCACAUCAGGAGGCCCCGUCUCGGGGGACGCGCGCAGUCCCUUUAUAGGCACAACUGCUUAAAGAAACCAGAUGGCCCCAGGAUGGUGCCAGAGCUUCCUGACCCCUUAUCAGAUACCAGAGGAAGAUAAGACUGCAGAGCGGAACAGGAUAGGCAACCCCUGAUCCUUGAUCAAGUCACAUUUGCAGAGACCUCUUUUUCAAAUAAGAGACGAGGUCUCACUAUGUUGGCCAGGUUGGUCUCGAAUUCCUGGCCGCAAGCCGUUCUCCAGUCUGGGCCUCCCAAAGUGCUAGGAUUACAGGAACAGAAUUGCCAUUGGGCCCAGGGAGAGACUACACUUCUUGUCUGCUUUGUUGCUAGUGCGGCCUUGUGGCCAAGCACAGAACGUGUGCAGUGAUGAUGGUGCAACUUCUAGGUCGUCCCCAGCAUGGAAAAUGAGCCCUGGGCAUGGAAGAUGAGCCCUGGUCCUGCAGCGGUGCUCUUUCCUCUUCUCACAAGCUGGAAUGUGCAUGUGCUCCCACCCAGCUUUGACCAUGGGGCGAAAACAGUACUCUGCAGUCUGGCAGAGCAACAAGGUGGAAAGGGCCUGGGUCCUUGAGUGACGUCAUGAGCCCUCUCACUGUCCCGACUUUGGGACUGUUAUAUGAUAAGGACUUUCUGUGAGUCACUGUCUUUUAGAGUCUCUCUGUUUUAGCUGCCUGGACUUUAUCCUGAAUAAUAUGGCUGUUAUCAUGGGUAUAGUGUUACUAUGAGCCUCAUCUAAGUAAUUUCUACUCUGCCUUUGACCACUAAACUCAUGUUGGACAAGAGUCACUUAGCAUUAUUUUUUCCUCAAUGAAGAGGUUAAGAUGGAGGGAGCAGGAGAAAUUGAGGCCUGUGUUUUACCAGAAGGUGAAGGGCUGUCUUUGCCUUUCCUACAUUUAUGAAGGAUAAUUCUAGACAAAAACAUUAAGUUCAUAUCAAACCAUCUGCUUUGUGAAGCCAUGGGCUUUGCUAGAACUUUCUGUGACAUGACAUUUAUUAACCCGAGUCUACCUGGAAGUUAGAGCUGAGGAAGUUUUCCUAGAGUGGAAAAAGUCCAAUGCACUUGUAAAAGUCAGACCAAGCUCAGCUCAGAUUUCAGUUUUAUUAGAAGUAUGUCACCUUCCUGAGCCCUUAUUAUUUCCCCAUCUGUGAAAUGAGGACACCGUUCUCUCUUUCUAAGCAUUGCUGGGAAGACCACACACCACUGAGACAGAAGGUGGGGCUAGCGCAGUUCUGGGCAUUUUGUACACCCCCAACAAAUACUGAUUUAUUUCCUUCUUUUUCCUUGCUCAGAAAAAAUUGGAGAAGGCUUUAUUUUAAAAUUCUGCCUGAAUUACUUUAUUUUAUUUAUUUAUUUAUUUAUUUUUUGGAGACAGAGUGUUGCUGUGUCACCCAGGCUGGAGUGCAGUGGUGCGAUCUCAGCUCACUGCAACCUCCUCCUGCUGGGUUCAAGUGAUUCUCCUGCCUCAGCCUCCUGAGUAGCUGGGACUACAAGCGUGUGUCACCAUGCCCGGGUAAUUUUUGUAUUUUUUGGUAGAGAGAAAAUUUCGCCAUGUUGGCUAGACUGGUCUUGAACUCUUGACCUCAAGUGAUUUGCCCACCUCCUUAAUUUUUGUUUAUGGUGUAAGGUAGAGCUUGGUUCCAUUUCGAGUUAAAUUUUUGCAAUG
rnacentral:lncRNA from 1 species